UACGAAGGGGACUAGCGUUGCUCGGAAUUACUGGGCGUAAAGCGCACGUAGGCGGAUUUGUUAGUCAGGGGUGAAAUCCCGGGGCUCAACCUCGGAACUGCCUUUGAUACUGCAAAUCUCGAGUCCGAUAGAGGUGGGUGGAAUUCCUAGUGUAGAGGUGAAAUUCGUAGAUAUUAGGAAGAACACCGGUGGCGAAGGCGGCCCACUGGAUCGGUACUGACGCUGAGGUGCGAAAGCGUGGGGAGCAAACAGG
rnacentral:rRNA from 1 species